CAAGGCUCUCUUUCAUCCUCAGAUGCAGGCUCCUAGAAUAAUGUCUCCACCCUCCUCCUCGCACCCAGAAGCUGUCCUUACACUUAACUGCUUCUAACACCUCCUUACCUGAGCCUGGCCAUCAGUGCAAACCAGCCUCCCCAAACCCCACAUUGUGCUGCCAGGGGGGUCAGCAUAGAAGCCCUCAUGGCUGAAGGUCUUCCUCUGUGGGGGUGUAGGUAAGUGGAAAUGGGUUUUAAAAGCACAAAAUUAAAAUAAGAUGAAAAUAUUCCUAGGGCUUUGCUUUGGCUCCUUAAUCUUAAUCCCCUUCUGCCGUGGCAAAUGAAAUCUUGUUUGGCUUUCAUUCCUGAAGUAAAAGCCUAACAAAUGUCAAACCAGCACCUCUCGCCCAUCGUGCCCUUUUCAUCCCACAAAGGUUCAAAGAAGGAGAGCUAAUCUAGCCCAGCAUCAGUUGGCAUCACAGAUCUCACAGGGACAGAACUCGAAUCAGUAUGUGUCCUCAUAGUCUCCAAAGGCGAUAUUAUAAAAGAUAACCUGUGACUUUUCAGGGGAGACUUCUGGUCCCCUCCCAUAACUAAUUGCUACUUCUCCCUGAAUUCAGCAGCUCAGUGCCAAAGACUUAAAAAUAUAGCUGAAGAUACUCGGUGAUGUCUAGUUGCUUUUUAUUUAUAUAAUUUCUCUGUAAAUUAAUGCUAUUUUGUGGUCUUUAGGAUUUUAUGAGUCUAUAGAAGAGCUAUAUCAAUGAACAACUCAAGGUAACUAAGGCUUACUAAAACAAACAAACACAAAGGAAUGUUACCAGGCAUUUUGUAUCAGUGCACAAGUCAUAAAUAACAUUUUAAUAUAGUACCUAGUCAGUGCAGGACACAGGAUAGGUCAAGACUAUGAGACAGAGGGCUUGGUGUAUGGUAAAUUUGAGGGAAAACAAAGACUAAUUUAGAUGUUUAGGACUGUUAUUGGAAUAUUUGUAUUCUGAGCCUGAAAACAAAGAAUGAAGGGGUAGUCCUCACCUAAGAAAUGAUGCAUUCAGAAUCUAUAAAUGAUAGUCAGGCAGCUACUGGACAACAAUGGGUGAGGCACACAGAGGUCUUUGGUCCGCGGGGAGGAUGGAGACUGAAAUUCCCAGUGGGGCUAAAACAUGAUGGACACAUUGCAGGAACCAAUGAAGUCACAGGCAACGAGGCAAAGCUGACUGUGACUCAGCAGCUGUGGAGCUGUGUCGAGCUUAGCACAGCUAGACUGGACCAGAAGGUCAACAGCAGCAAAGCUAAUAAGUUUGCCAAUUACUGGACUGGCAAUUACAAGACUCUCUUUGACAGGCUGGGGACUGAGAAAAGCAGUUUUCUCAGUUUCUCCUAAGCCUGCAAUUUUAUUCUGUCACACUAGAGAUAGUUCCCAGGGAGUCGACACUAUUGUGCCCAUUCUACAGAGAUAUAUAGGUUUAAGUUGGACAGGAUUAAAAUACUUAGCUUUUGGGCACAGAGAUAUCAGCACAUCUGUAUAUCUUGUAAUACUAUCCACAGCAGCCAAGUUACAGACUUGACCCAGUGUCCAUCAACAGACAUGCAGGCUCUGUUCUGAGGACUGGGGAUAUUGAGAACAGAAACCCUUCCCCCAAGAAGCUUCAGCUCUAACAGUGGUGAUGUGUUCCUGCUUGACUUCCUGCCCCGACUUGCCUCAAUGGUGGACUGUGACCUGGAAAUGUAAGAUUAAAUAAACCUUUUCCUCCUCUCAAUUGCUUUGGGUCAGAAUGUUUUGUCACAACAACAGAAAAGCAUCCUAGAGCAACAUCUGCAUUACAUAUGACACAUUUAUUAAAACUCAUUCAAUAAGUGCCUAAGAUGCAUGUUAGAAUGCUGAAUGUGCUUUGUUUACAUUGGAAUGUUAUCUUUA